AGUUUUAGAUAUAUUUACAGACAUAUUAUGCAUCAAUAUACUGUAUUAUUUCAUUGAGAGCUUGAUCGCAAAGUUGUCAAUGGAUAUUGAAGCAGAAUGGCGACAACGUAAUGAAAAUUCAUAUCUGCACAGUUAUAAGACCGACCUUACACUCGUAAGUUCUGCUUAAGUAUUUUAUGUAAUUCUUACGAUAAAUAGUCCUUUAAAUAAUACCCCCGAUAAAAAAAAAAACCCUUCGUAGGUCGCUUAGAACUUCUUACAACUUGCGAAAGUUACGCAAUUUUUACAGAAGCAGCUUACAAGUGUAAGUUCGGGGUAUGGAAACACUUAUAAUAUAAUAUGUAUUUAUAUGUAUUUUGGAAUAAUAUAAUUUACAACCAGUUAAUUUCACAACAAUUAUACACAUUGAUACAUGGAUGCCAUUUAUGACAAACCAACAGUCCAGAUAUGAUUAAAAAUAUCGAUUAUGAUUUACUUUAUAUCGAUGUAUCUUCUUACGAAUUUAACUGAGAUUAUAUUAGGAACUUAGUUACUUUUAAACAUAGAAGAAAUAUUAACUAAAAGAAAUAAACGGAUAAAGGCUACACGUGUCUCAGAUUGUAGAAACGAACAAUGAUUUUAUAGUGCCAAUUUGCCUAAACGUUCUUAAUAAAAUAUAAAUUAAGCUAAAAUAAGACCUCGUAAAUAAAUAUUACCCUUUCGCCACAUUUACUUAAAAUCUGCAUACGUUUAAUAACUGAUAUAUUAGAAGCUAACUUACUGUCGCAUCUAAAUAUUUCAAGAAAUCAUAGUUAUAGUCUCUGACGAAUUGUAUUACUUUUUCAGAGAAAUCCACGGACUGCUAUCCCGACCUUACAUCGGACGAGUCCACAAAUGGCUCAUCUCAAGUCUCGUCUGACGUCAGACCCCAAGAAUCAGAAUUCAGAAUCUUACAAACUCCAAGAGGAGACAUUCUUUUACGAAACGGGUUCGAAUAUUUUAAACGAUAUAUUUAUGCUGAUGGCAAUACUGUGUGGCAAUGUUUGAAGCCGGGAGACUGUUGUGCCACGAUCAUUACUAGAGGGAGUCUGAUAGUCGAUGAGCAGACACAUAAGUGUAACGUGGAAUCUGAGAGGAAUAGGCUCAUGAUAAAGCAGUUACAACUAAGAUGGAUGCCGUUUAUGCAAAUGCUGACACUUAUGUAAAAAAAGUGUGUAUUUUAUGUGAUGUGUGAUGUAGUUUGGAAAAAGAUAUUAACUUAAAUACAACUUUUAUUUGUAUUCAUGUGUGUAUGUUUAAUAAAUUAAAUGAAAAAGUAAUGUGGCCCCCAUUAUCUUAUUCCAUUAUAAAGAUUAUAUUCUAAAGGAAAUAAAUGUGGUGACCAGUAUUAUAAAUCGAUGUAAAUGCAUUUAUGUAUUUUAAAAUUAAAUCGAAAUUGUUAUCAAUUUUAUCGAUGUGCUAUUUUAGAAAUACAUCUUCAAAAACAGUAGUUGUUAUCAAUUUUAUGUAUGUUGAAAAAUUAUAGCUAUGAAGUCAUUAAAACAUAAGUACUUUAUGUAAAAAAAAACUCUCGUCCGUAUUAUUGACGUUUUUGACAAAUUGACACUUUAUGUUCAUAUUUCUAAAAUCUGAGCUUAUCUGCUACACAAAGACUAACUUUAAUAAAAAAUACUAUUUCUCUGUAAUAGACAUUUAUAUGGAAUACUUAAGGAACUUAAUAAAUAGUCGAUUAUACCCGCAUUCAAAUGCAAUUUAUAAUAAGAUUUUAUUUAAUGUAUGAUUAUAUUAGGAAAAAAAAUGUUAUGUACUUGACGGAAUGUAAAAUUAAUUUGUGAGAAUAUUUUGUCAAUAGUGUAUGAUCUUAGAAAACAUAGAAUAAGAUAUACAUAUUAUAAAAGAAAGCUGUUUUACCUUUGUUUAAAAUGUAAACAAUUUUGCCAAAUCUGUACAACUUUAUACUGCUCUGAAGAACCUGUUAUUUUAAAGAUUAUUUUAUAUGUAGACUGAUUAUUUUAAGCUGGUGGUAAAUAUUGUUUCAUUCUUUGACAUUCAAUGUCAGUUAUAUUUAAAUUAUCUGUAAGUAUUUUUCAAGUCGAACAAAGAUUAUCUAUAUCUUAUUUGUAAUAGAUUUUUCACAAAACUUGUUUACACUUUACCAAACGAAAAAAAAGUUGAAUACGGGUUUUAUAUAGGAACAAAUUUUAUGUUGGAGGGUGUGUGUGCUUGUUUUGCUUGUCAACGACAGUAUGUCCUAUGGUGACAACAAUGGCGUGACAAUUCCUUGACUUACUGUCAGCACAUAACCAUUUCACUCGUGACGAACAAACCGAAUGUCGAGUAUAUCUGUAGCCGCGAAUCUUCAUAAUCUUUGCCCCGAUCUCCGAUGUGUAGAAUAUAGGACGAUCUGCUGAAAAAAUAUUGUAUUUAUAUUGUAUAAAAUAUUCUAGAAAUAAUCAAAUAAUUUAUUAAUGUGUUUAAAUAUUAAUUGUAUUGUAUUAUCUAGUCGUUAUUGUAUAACCAUGGUACCAUUUAAAAAAUAAAAUAAUGUUUAAUGA
rnacentral:lncRNA from 1 species